AGUAACACGUGAGCGACCUGCCUUUCAGAGGGGGAUAACAGCCGGAAACGGCUGCUAAUACCGCAUGAUGUUGCGGGGGCACAUGCCCCUGCAACCAAAGGAGCAAUCCGCUGAAAGAUGGGCUCGCGUCCGAUUAGCCAGUUGGCGGGGUAACGGCCCACCAAAGCGACGAUCGGUAGCCGGACUGAGAGGUUGAACGGCCACAUUGGGACUGAGACACGGCCCAG
rnacentral:rRNA from 1 species